UUUGUUUUCGUGUCCAACGUUUGAUCAUUCAUUUUAUAUAAAAUUUUUUUAUGAUUAGUAUUUUUUUUAUUGUUAGAUGAUAAAAUAUAAAUAAUACUUUCUGUAUGACUUAUCUUUUUAACUUUUUUUAAAUAAGAUGAACGGUUAAAUGUUAGAAACAAAAAUUCGGAAUUGAGUUUUUU
rnacentral:pre_miRNA from 1 species